rnacentral:lncRNA from 1 species
CAUGCAGAAUUAGGAUCCACAGAGUAUACAUGUGUACCAUAGCCUGGAGUCUGAUGUAUAGUUGCAGUAGGAGACCAUCUGCUUGGCGGCUUGGGCGAGGCAGGCGUCGCAGUCGCCGCCGGAGACGUCGCCGCGGCACUGCGCGAGGCCGUAGAAGGCGUCGUACCCCCUGCCGGCCUUGGAGGUGGCGAAUCCGCCGCCGGUGCGCGCCUUGGCGACAAGGUCGGAGACGACGAAGUUGAUGCUCCGCCGCCUGACGACGGCAUCGCUGCCGUUGAGAUCGCCGUAGUUCAUCCCCGGCUCCCAGCAGAAGCUGCCGAUGGGAUACGUCGUCGUCGUCGCCGCCAUGGCCAGUGGGAGCAAUGCAGCGGCCAAGAAGACUGUAAGUAGCAGCUGGCUUAAUGCCGCCAUGGAUGGCGCCAAUUGCUCUCAAUUCAGCCUCUUGUUGCUACUGGAGUAGCAGUAGUAGUAGCUAGAGAUUUCAGUAGAGGAGGAUGGCUUUAGCUUGUGUUUGAUUGGGAUCGAAUGGUUGGAGUUUAUAUAGAGGGAGGAUUGGAUGGGGAAGGAGGGAUUGAUCGAUUGAUCAAUGUGCUUGCAGAGUUGCAGUAUGUUAACUGCAGGCGAACAGGUUUCAAAAUCCUUGUUCUAAUUGUUUGCAAACUUGUUUUUGACUACUACUGUUCUAAAGGUUUGCAUGCAGACAUGCAGUGAUUAGAACUGUGGGCGCGAAGCUAUAUUAUUGCACGUACGGAUGACACUCUUGCAGAUAUCGCGGACUAGCUAAGCUAGCUGGCUGAGCUGGCUGCUGGCUGCCUGCUUGCUUGCUAGUACCAUUUCUUGUGGGCUGGCUGUCACUAGUUUUGACUUUUGAGGGAUGAGGUGAUGGAUUGGAUAAACCUAUCAUGUCUCUUCACUCUUCUUCAACCAAACAAACCAUGCAUAUAUUUAGGAUUAAGUGGUCAAUUUACUUAUAUUACAUUGCUCAAUCAAUCCAAAACUAAACAGCCCAUAUAUAUUGAGAAACACAACAUAAAUGUAAGCACUCACAAUUAGUUCGCACGCUCACCCUUAUAAAGAUACACACGCACAUGCUCUAAAAAACUAGCUAUUGUUGUCGACGGGUUAAUCGUCUAUACUGAAAGAAUAAUUAGCUGUAAGUGCGAGCACCCACGUCAAAUCGAGAAUUUGAAUCCAGAUAGCUUAGUUCCAGCAUAAGAAAUCUAACCAGUUGAGUUAUACUCUCACUUCACUGAAGAGCCCAUAUAUAUAUAUAUAUAUUAGUGAUGAGUGAAGAUGAAAAAGCUGAAAAACUAUUCGGUUGCAGCGUUGCAGGACACUGUAUAGUUUGAUUGAGUUUGUUUUCGCUGAAUCUGGUUGGAUGAAAAGCAAAUACACUAUCCAAUGAUUUUGCCAAUUUGCAAAUACUAGUUGAUUCUUAGGCAAAAUCCACUGUAUAUAGUCUCCUGUUUCUGCAGCCAAACAGCCCAAAACCCAGUAGCCCACCGAUCGAGAAUCUAAUUGCCCCCGCAAAAAAAAAAAGAGAAUCUAAUUGCGAACACGUGCAUCGAUCCAAUUCCAAACCUCGUGCGAAUUUGGCGCCAUACCGUUUUUGUCUAACGCUAAUGAUGAUUUAUCUCCUAAAUGAUAUACAUGCAUCCGUACACUCAGCUUGCACGAAUCCUGCGCUUGCAUAUUGGGCCUAUUUCAAUUGCCAAUUUAGGCCCAGUAAACAGAAAGUGCAUAGAAUAUUUCUUUUUCCUUUCUAACUUGUUUUUUCAAUUCAAUGUAAAACAUCUAUAAAAUGUAUUAUAAUAGAAGUUUUUUUUCUUAAAGUCCUUUGCAAAGUUUGUAAGUAGAAAGUUUCUUUAUUAUUCAUAAAUUAUCUAGGUGGGAAGUUUACUGCUUACACAAAGUUUUUGAGUGAAACAUUUACUAUCUAUAUACAUAAUGUAUUCUGAUCAAGUAGAAAGUCUGCUAUUUCUGUGGAAAUUUCCCUGGUGUUUAGAUGAUUAUAUACCAAAUAUUCCUUUUGAAAACGAAUGCAUAAUUAAGCGUGAUGGGUUCAAUCGCGUGAAAUGCUAGUUGUUCAAGGGAGUGGAUUCUAACUCUCGACGAGACAUCCCCUCGUUGUUUACAUGUCAUCCAAAUAAUUAUGAAAAAAAUAAAACAAGAUAGAUUAAUAUGUGAUAAAUCACUCCACAAACAUAGUUAAAAUUUAACUUUUACAAGUUGCAACGAAAAAACAAAUUAAACUAUUGCUAACUUGUACUCAAAUUUGUUUUUUUUUUCAUUGCAACUUGUAGAAGUUAAAUUUAACCUCUCGCUGCAGCCACAUGGCAAGGGGCGGCGCUUCACGACUGGAUUGGGCCUUCACGGCCGGAUCUGGUUAUGCAAUGCGGUAGUGGCCGGAUCUAGCCGAGGUCGAGUAGGAGGUGUGUCGCGGCUGGCAGCUGCAGGAUGUCGGCCUCGGGCACUGGCUAACGGCAGCAAGAGGCCGAUCACGGGCGAGGUCGCGGUCGGCACGGCCAACAGCGAUAGGAGGGAGGCCGCGGGCAUGGCGUGGAGCGGUGCGUCUGGCCGGUGGCGGCAGGAGGGCGGCCGCGGGCAUGGCGUGGCGCGGUUGCGAUUGUGGAGGUUAGUGAGGACGACGGUGAGCGCUUACCGCCCGCACCGACAGCUAGGGAUGGGCAUUCGGUCUAACCGAAAAUUUCGGUCUCGGUCUUCGGUCUUUUGGUCUUUGAAAAGUGAAGACUGAAUUUCAGCGAAAAAAUGUCAGGACCGACAAAUUCGGUCUCAGUCUUUUCGGUCUCGGUCUCGGUCCUGACCGAAAUUCAACAACAUUUUCAUAUAUGAAAAGAAAUAAUAGAAAUUUUCAACACAAAAAUCACAAAAAAAAAAUCGUAAGCACUUAUGAGUAAAGACUCUUAUUAGGUUUCAUGCCUAGAAGAAGUAGGGAUGUGAAAAUUAGAGUUUAAUCCUAUUAAACAUAGUGGAUUGUAGGUUGUAUUUAGAUAUUUUUUUUGAUAAUUCAGUCUAUUCGGUUACCCGAGGAGACUAACCGAAUUAACUGAACAAAAUUCGGUCUUUCACUGCCUAGGACCGAAUUGAUGACCGAAUUUCUUGGUCUCGAUCUCGGUCUUUUCGGUUCGGUCUUUUUCUGCCCACCCCUACCGACAGCGGGGGCUAGUAGCAAUGCCGUGGCAAAUAUGUGAGCUUCCGGAGUCAGUUCGUUCUUGCUAGCUAGCCAUUUCCAUCUCCUUCUCCAGGAAACACCUCCCCGGCUAUGGUCGACUCCUUUCGAUUGUGGGGAGCUCUUUUGGUGAGAUGUCGGCAAUGGCGUUUGGAGGACGAUGAUGGUGAUGGGGCUUUUGUCGUGCUGGUCAGCAAUGGGAGCCGCGAGGUUCCCCAUGACCUGCUGGCGAACCGGUGGUAAUGGCGGCUCCAUUUCUUAGGGGACGAUGGUGGCUACAAUUUAGGAUAGAAGGACAACUUGGCACGAUGUGGUUAAAAGUGCUUGCUUGCACACUUGAGAGCGGGCGCAACAUCGGUGGUGGAACUGUCCUCACAGCACAUUGGUGGAGGCCAAGGCGAAAGCAUGGACGCUACGGGCAUCGUCGUUUACUCGUUGGAGGCGUCCUUUUUGUCUCCUCGUCAUGCCGUGUUUGGAUUUUGUGGGUGUAAACCUAGCCCAAGAUGAUGGUGGCGUAUAGCUUGACGUCGUGCCUCCUGAAGGCAUAUUAAUCCUUGGCAAUUUCAUAAUCAUGCUCCACUUUGUUAUGGACGGCCUUUGAGAAGUCGGAGCUGCUGCGUCGAGGUGGUUGAUGAGUUUGGCAACAAUAUAAAUCGGAAGUUGGAGCUGCUGUGCAGGUGCGAAUUUGGCAAUGAUGACCCAAGUAGGACCUCGCCCUUUGAGUUUUCGCUCUAGUGUGGGGUAGCAAUGCAAGCUUGUUGGUCGGCAAGCCUUUCCUGGCCUUAGCGUUUCCUAGCGAAGUUGGAGUCGCCUGUGAUGGUGUGAUGACAAUAACGUUGCGUAUCUGCCUUUGCGAGGAGCCUUGUUUAAUCUUCCAACUUGCUACUUCAUUUUGCAAGGUUUGUGGUGAAUAGCAUUUGUUGAACCUGGCUUUUCUGUUUUUCAUAGCCUUGUAGUUAAGAUUUGCCAUUUUCUGUUUGGUACAAUAGUUGUGGUUUUCACAUAGUUUUUCCUAAUUAACAAUGUAAUAUAAAGUUUGGUCUCGUUUUCUUCUUAAAAUGAGACAAAUACUUCUUUAUAUAAAUGUCGGCAAUGGCAUGACCUUUUUUUCUAAAAAAAAAACUAUUUGUUCACACGCGCGUACAUCAUACCUCAGUACACAUCUUUAUUUAUUCCAAACUAGCAGCAUACUAAUUAAGAAUCAAUACAGCUUAUAAAUAUAUAGCCUACAACACAUGAUUUAUUAUUGAAAUAAAACAUCAUUAGAAAUACUUGUUCCGGGACAGAUCUCAGGUACGCAUAACAUAACUAUACUGCUAUGCGUUACAACGUGUGUAUGCUUGCAUGUAUGCAAUAUCGUAUUGUACUAUACACGCAGCCUAUAUAUAUGCGAGAUUUAUUCAAUGCAUCGUGACCUUGGUGUACUUUGUCAAGUCGGUGGGGGCCUGCCUGUUGGCCUCGAGUGGAAAAUAGAACGGGUAGAUCUCGUAGCGCACCCAACAGCUACUAUAGUCAAUCUGGCACCCCUGCCCACUGCCGCAGGCCUCGGCAAACUUGGAAACCGUCGUUGACAGGCAUUGUGCGCACAGUGGUGGUGCCAGAUCCCGCGUGCAUUGUGCCAACGCAUAGACGUUCACGAAUGAUGUGCACUGCUCCUUCGCUCUGCCCAGCCCACCGCUACCCAUCGUGACAGCAUGCGCUACCGCUUUCCCCGUCGCCUUUCCUACUGCCUUCUGGAACGCCAUGGGGUUGUCCAUAUCCGGCCAUUGCCUCAGGGUCACACUUGCGUCUGUCCUCGUGUCCAUCUCCCCAAAGAAGUUGAAGUCAACGUACCGCAUGAAGCAGUACUCAUACCUGCAAGUACAUAUGUACAUUGCCCGCACAAGCACAUAAACAAAAGAACGUUAAACAACCAGCAUGUAAAAUCUAUAAUUUUUGCCACUCAAGUUUGCUCUCCGGUUCCUUCAAUUUUGAUGUUUUGGAUAAUAACACGGUCUAAAAAACAUAUCUUUCAACUAUAAUUUAUUUUAUUAUAAUAUACCCAAAAUAUAAGUAAACUUUUAAUUUUAUUUAAGCACUUCUUAAAAACCGAUCUAUACAUUAUGUUCUAGUGUUCUCAAACUAAAUAUUUUAAAGAUCACUAAUAGUUAAAGUUUAAAUUGUUUGACCUUAAUUUUAUCCAAAACGUUGAAAAUUAUAGAACCGAAGAGACUAUAUGACAUGUAGAAUUAUGACACACGCAUACCAUAUUCUGGAGUCUAAUGUAUAGUUGCAGUUGGUGACCAUCUGUUUGGCGGCUUGGGCGAGGCAGGCGUCGCAGUCGCCGCCGGAGACGUCGCCGCGGCACUGCGCGAGGCCGUAGAAGGCGUCGAUGCCCCUGCCGGCGGAGGAGGUGGCGAAUCCGCCGCCGGCGCGCGCCUUGGCGGCGAGGUCGGAGACGACGGAGUUGAUGCUGCGCCGCCUGGCGAUGGCCUCGCCGCUGCUCAUCUCGUUGUAGCUCGGAUUCCAGCAGAAGGUGCCAAUGGGAGACAUCGAUAUCGU